UAUUGGCUUCAGUUUUUGUUUCAUGGCGUCGAACUUUCUCACGGCUCACUGCCGAUACCUGCUUUUUAUGCUAUGCGCCAUUCUUUUAACUAGACCUACGCUGGCCGUAAUGACAUUUCGAAUAGAUCCCAACGCCGUUGAAUGUUUGUACAUCGACAUGCAGCAAUCCAUGUCCGUCACCAUUAUGUACAAAGUCGUUUCAGGUCAAACUCUCAAUAUUAUGUUCGAGCUUCGGGGCGUCUAUGGCGAGCAUAUUUAUUCUAAGAUUAGCGAUCCAGAAGGCCUGUAUAAUUUCGUCGCACCUCGCUCCGGCUCGUACUCGGUUUGCUUUUCAAACAUUCACGCGCCGUUGUCCCCAAAAGACCUCUCAUUUGACAUUCAGCUCGACAUGCUCACUCCUAAUGUCUUGAAAAAGAAUUUGACCUCCCUGGAGAACGAGCUUGUCUCUUUGUACAAUCGGUUAAGAGAAGUCGAGGUCGAGCAAUCUAUCCUUAAAAUGAAAGAAAUCCGACAUCGUUAUACUACCGAUUCCACGACUCGACGAAUCAUAACACGAUCCGUUUUGCAAGUAGCCAUCAUAAUUUUGUGCUCCUUUUACCAGGUUUAUAACCUCAAAAGAUUUUUUGAAGAACGAAGGCGACUAUAGAGAAAUGCGCGUCGAAGACGUAAAGAAACAUCUGUUUAGAAUCUCUUCGGGCCAAGCUUGACGGUUGCGGCUUUGGCCUGCAGAUCUAGCAUCAGAUAUAUAUAUAAUAUAUAUGUAAUGUAAUGCAUUUUUUUGUAUGA